AGAAGAAGCUGAAUGACUACAUGAUGUGUGCUGGCACUGAGAGCAGCUUUUAUUAGUUGAUCUGCCAGGACUGAGAGCUAGCAGUGUUGGGAUGCUGUCACCAAAAUAACCAACAACCAUUGCAGCAGGGCCAUCAACGACAGAAGAAAACGGACUUUAACAUCAAACAGGUUGGGGCGGGAGCUCAGCUUGUACGGCGAGAGUUGGGGUAGUCUUUGGACAAGUCUGCCGCAGGGCUCAUUGGAAACCCGCAGCACAGAAUUGCCUGAAAUCUGUCGCACUUGGUUUAAAUAUCUGUUGGCUAAACUGGAAGUCCUGGCAUCAGAUAAUAGAUGAUAGAUUUUCUAGAUUCAG
ensembl:lncRNA